rnacentral:rRNA from 1 species
ACGCUCGACACCUACGGGAGGCAGCAGGUGGGGAAUAUUGCACAAUGGGGGAAACCCUGAUGCAGCGACGCCGCGUGAGCGAAGAAGUAUUUCGGUAUGUAAAGCUCUAUCAGCAGGGAAGAAGAAAGACGGUACCUGACUAAGAACGCCCCGGCUAACUACGUGCCUGCAGCCGCGGUAAUCUGAGGCGGGCUGGCAAGGC